GAUCAUUACAAGUGACCCCGGUCUAACCACCGGGAUGUUCAUAACCCUUUGUUGUCCGACUCUGUUGCCUCCGGGGCGACCCUGCCUUCGGGCGGGGGCUCCGGGUGGACACUUCAAACUCUUGCGUAACUUUGCAGUCUGAGUAAACUUAAUUAAUAAAUUAAAACUUUUAACAACGGAUCUCUUGGUUCUGGCAUCGAUGAAGAACGCAGCGAAAUGCGAUAAGUAAUGUGAAUUGCAGAAUUCAGUGAAUCAUCGAAUCUUUGAACGCACAUUGCGCCCCCUGGUAUUCCGGGGGGCAUGCCUGUUCGAGCGUCAUUUCACCACUCAAGCCUCGCUUGGUAUUGGGCAACGCGGUCCGCCGCGUGCCUCAAAUCGACCGGCUGGGUCUUCUGUCCCCUAAGCGUUGUGGAAACUAUUCGCUAAAGGGUGUUCGGGAGGCUACGCCGUAAAACAACCCAAUUUCUAAGGUUGACCUCGGAUCAGGUAGGGAUACCCGCUGAACUUAAGCAUAUCAAUAAGCG
rnacentral:misc_RNA from 1 species